AGCGAACGCUGGCGGCAGGCCUAACACAUGCAAGUCGAACGAACUCAUCGGAAUUAUUGUCCGCCGGCGUAGUCACCCGUUGGAUCGUUCCUUCUUGUUUGGAAUAACUCAAGGAAACUUGUGCCUUCACCGAAUGUGCCCUUCGGGGGAAUGAUUUAUCGCCAUUAGAGCGGCCAGCGUCUGAUUAGCUAGUUGGUGAGGUAACGGCUCACCCAGGCGACGAUUAGUAACUUGGUUGAGAGGCUGACCAGCCACACUGGGACUGCGACACGGCCCAGAAUCCUACGGGAGGCAGGAGUGGGGAAUCUUGCGAAAUGGGGGAAAGCCUGACGCAGCCAUGAUGCGUGAAUGAUGAAGGUCGUAGGAUUGUAAAAUUCUUUCACCGAGGCAGAUCAUGACGGUACCCGGAGAAGAAGCCCCGGCUAACUUCGUG
rnacentral:rRNA from 1 species